rnacentral:lncRNA from 1 species
GACCCCCGGCCCCGCGCUGCCGGAACCUCGCCGCCGAAAUCUGCGGAAGGCAGGCCACGCCGUCCGCCCCGGCCCGCCAGGUGCCCGGAGGCGAGAACGGGCGUCGAGGGCAGCGCCCUCCCCGGGCGCAGCCGGGCACCCGACCCUCGAUGAGCAGCAUCCGCGGGCGAGGACACAGAACGCCGGGGCGCUCGGGGCCCGGACAGAGGAUGGAGCCGGUGUCACGGUGUUGGCGAAGUCGCGCUCACCCUAGCGGGGAGCAGCGCUCGUCCCCGAGGAGGAAGCGACGGCCCCGCGACGGCCCGACGGGGGGCGGCCUCGGGCGCUGAAGGAAUGCGGAGGGGGCCGGGCCGGGCGGGCCGCCAGUUUCCAUGAUGCGGGGGGCGGGCUCGCCGAGGGGCUCGGGCGGGCGUCCAGGCUGCGCGGCGGCCGGGCCCCUCGGGAGAAUUUCCGGCCUGGGAUUGAUUACGCCGCCCCUCCCCCGCCGCGGGACCCCCGGCUCGGGGCGGGGGAGGGGCGGUAAUGAGGCCCGGCUGGCGCGGGGCGGAGAGCGAGGAAGCGGGACAGUCCCCGAGCCGCGCAGCCCGGCAACCGAGCUCAGCCCCGGAGAGCCGGCAACCUUGGGAGGGACCCUGGGCGCCCCCGACGGACCGGGAGGAGGCACGGGUGGAGCUUCGAGGAGCUGCCUCCGCCGUGCCUCCCUCCUCCCUCGUUUCCUUCGCUCCUUUCGGGAGCCGGUGCCCACCGACCUCCCCUCAGCCUCCCCGCACCGCACGCAGACUCCAGACUCCGCCGCGUCCCGGAGCAGCGCCUGCUACGGAAGAAGGCUGUCCCUGUGGGCUGCUUGGGCUUUCCUGCUCCUGCCCCUGCCCCUGCCCCGCUCCAGCCGCAGUCUCCAGCGGCUUGGGAGAGCACUCGGCGGGCACCGCCUGAUGCCAGUGUGUACACGGUGCCCUGCAGCUCCCGCCCAGAGACCUCAACUUCAACCAAGGAUCCAGAGCCAGUUCAAGGGCAAAAAGAGCACGGCCGAGGUCCCUCGUCGAUCAGGCUGCUCCGCCACAGGGUGACAUCGGCUGUAUAGGACGCCCCCGCCCCGGGUCUUGUUGCUCUGCAUCCUGCAG